rnacentral:rRNA from 1 species
UGGGGAAUAUUGCACAAUGGAGGGAACUCUGAUGCAGCGACGCCGCGUGAACGAAGAAGGCUUUCGAGUCGUAAAGUUCUUUUAUAUGGGAAGAUAAUGACGGUACCAUAAGAAAAAGCCCCGGCUAACUACGUGCCAGCAGCCGCGGUAAUACGUAGGGGGCUAGCGUUGUCCGGAAUCACUGGGCGUAAAGGGUUCGCAGGCGGAAAAUGCAAGUCAGGUGUAAAAGGCAGUAGCUUAACUACUGUAAGCAUUUGAAACUGCAUAUCUUGAGAAGAGUAGAGGUAAGUGGAAUUUUUAGUGUAGCGGUGAAAUGCGUAGAUAUUAAAAAGAAUACCGGUGGCGAAGGCGGCUUACUGGGCUCAUUCUGACGCUGAGGAACGAAAGCGUGGGUAGCAAACAGG